GGAUACCUUACUGAUUUUGAGCGGCAAUGUGCCCUGCACAAGGUACCCCUGGAAGACUGGGUCACUAUAUUGUCCGGCAAGUUAUCCGGCUGGGCCAGCGAUGCUUUUCGGGCCAUUCCAGAUGAGGAGAUCGGGGAUUAUGGGGCCGUCAGGGAAGCUUUACUCUCCCGGUAUGCCGUUACACCGGAGGCAUACAGGAGGAGGUUCAGAGACACUGUUAAAACAGCUGGGGACUCUUACGUUGAAUGGGCAUGCAAAGUGCACCACACAGCUGCCCACUGGAUGGCGGGGUGCCAGGCUGUGUCCGGAGUAGAGGUGCUGCAGAUGUUUCUAUUGGAGCAUUGCUUCGACAAAUUACCCCCAGGGGUCAGAGAGUGGGUAAGGGACCGUAAACCCUCCACUCUACAUGAAGCAGCUCGCCUGGCGGACGAGUAUACCGAUGCCCGCAAACUGGACAGUUCCGUCAGUAAGACUCCCGCCAGAGUGGAGUACCGGCCAGCAGCACCACCAGCAGCUAACAUCUACCAGCCUCCAAUGAAUCGGCCGUCAGCACCCCCUCCGUCUGCCCAGUACCAACAGCCACCCCGAUUCAACUCACGGGAUUACUCGCAACCUAUUAGAUGCUAC